GACAGAGGUGCCGAGCGUUAGGCGGAAUCACUGGGCUUAAAGCGUGUGUAGGCGGGGCGUUAAGUGUCUUGUGAAAUCCCACGGCUCACCCGUGGAACUGCUGGACAUACUGGCGCUCUUGAGCCACUUAGGGGCAACUGGAACAAACGGUGGAGCGGUGAAAUGCGUUGAUAUCGGAAGGAACGCCGGUGGCGAAAGCGACGGACUGGAUCUCUUCUGACGCUGAGGCGCGAAAGCCAGGGGAGCAAACGGG
rnacentral:rRNA from 1 species